CAUUCUUGUAGCAGUAUCACCU
rnacentral:miRNA from 1 species